rnacentral:rRNA from 1 species
UACAGAGGUCCCAAGCGUUGUUCGGAUUCACUGGGCGUAAAGGGCGCGUAGGCGGCUUAACAAGUCACUUGUGAAAUCUCCGGGCUUAACUCGGAACGGCCAAGUGAAACUGUCAAGCUAGAGUGCAGAAGGGGCAAUCGGAAUUCUUGGUGUAGCGGUGAAAUGCGUAGAUAUCAAGAGGAACACCUGAGGUGAAGACGGGUUGCUGGGCUGACACUGACGCUGAGGCGCGAAAGCCAGGGGAGCAAACGGG